rnacentral:rRNA from 1 species
CUGUGAUCGUGUGCUGGUUGUUUGGGUCUAGGUUAACUCUGCCUGGUGGCUUUAUCUAUAAACUCGGGCUAUGGCCUUUCCUCUAUAAAAAAAAGUACUUACAAAGCCAGUCACCCCAACGUCGGUUCGCCAUGGUGGAUCUCCUGCAGAAACUCUUGCCAGAGACCCUGCCACGGGCAUGGUUGUUUCUGUUCCUCUUCUGCCUCAUCGUGUCUAUGCAGUACUGGUUCACCGGAAAGUUCAGUGCAAAAAGACAGCGGCUCCCGCCUUCGCCGCCGGCGCUGCCCAUCAUCGGGCACCUCCACCUCAUCGGUUCCCUCCCCCACAUCUCUCUCAGCGGCCUCGCAAGGAAGCAUGGCCUCGACGUGAUGCUCCUCCGCCUGCAGGGGACCGUGCCCAACCUCGUUGUGUCUUCCUCGCGCACUGCGGAGGCGGUGCUGCACACUCAUGACCACGUCUUCGCGUCACGGCCCUACUCCGUCGUCUCCGACACCAUCAUGUACCGCUCGUCUGACAUCGGCUUCGCGCCAUACGGUGAGUACUGGCGGCAAGCAAGGAAACUCGUCACCACACACAUGCUGAGUGCUAAGAAGGUGCAGUCUUUCCGUGGCGCCGCUGCGGAGGAGGUCAGCAUGGCGAUGGCCAAGAUCAACCAGGCAGCAGCUACUGAUGCUGCGGUGGACAUGAGUGAGCUGCUCCACACAUUCGCUAAUGACAUGGCGUGCCGCAUUGUGUCGGGGAAGUUCUUCCUGAAAGAUGGUCAAAGCAAGUUGUUCGGGGAACUCAUCAAGGAUACCUCACGGCUGCUAGGCGGGUUCAAUUUGGAGGAGUACUUUCCGGCAGUGGGUAGGGUAGGAGUGCUCAAGAAGGCGGUUUGUGCCAAGGCCGAAAGAGUGAGGAACAGAUGGGCCGAUCUGCUGGACAAGGUGAUCGACGAUCAUGUGAGUAAGCGCAAGAGUGGUUCUUCUACAUCCAUUCUCGGUGCACCCAUGGUGCACCAACACAAGAAAACAUAUCAAAACAUUUCGAAAAUUUCUGAAACUUCGUGAAAAUGUUCAUCAACAAAUGUUAUGGGGGCUUGCAAAAUUUGUUGGCCAAAUAACAUUUGAGGAGCUCUCUACAAAAAAGACGAAAUCACUGAAAAUUAGUCAAAAUGUACGUGCACUGUUUGAGCAGAUUUUGCAAUUUUGUCUUUUUUGUAGGGCGCUUGUCGAAUGUUAUUUGACCACCAAACUUUGCAAGCCCUCAUAACAUUUGUUGAUCAUCAUUUCCACGAAGUUUCAUAUUUUUUCGAAAUGUUUUGAUAUGUUUUCUUGCAUGGGUGCACCGUGGGUGCAUCGAAAGUGGGUGCAGCCACUACUUUCCCGUGGAUAUUAUGUUGUCUGUCCAACAGGAGUAUGAUCUCACAAGAGAGCACAUGAAAGCUCUCCUGACCGUGAGUACAGAUAAUACCUUUCAAACUAAACAAGUUGAUUUGUAUAUAUCUAUCAUUGUCCUAAUUAAUUGAUAUAUGCAGGAUGUAUUUUUUGGUGCAAUAGAUACAUCAGCUAACGCCCUCGAAUUCACCUUGGCUGAGCUCAUGAAGAAGCCACACCUGAUGGUGAAGCUACAAGAUGAGGUGAGGGGUAUUGUACCCCAACGACAAGAAAUUAUCUGUGAAACCGACAUGAACAACAUGACGUACCUAAGAGCAGUCAUAAAAGAGUCGCUCCGGUUACAUCCUCUUGCUCCUCUCCUUGCUCCGCACCUUGCCAUGGCUGACUGCAUCAUCGAUGGAUACACGGUUCCUGCUGGGAUGCGUGUGGUCGUCAAUGCAUGGGCCAUUGGUAGGGAUCCGAGCUCCUGGGAGUAUGCGGAAGAGUUCAUUCCUGAAAGAUUUACAGAUGAAGGUAGCAGUAUGCAUGUCAACUUCAAGGGUAAUGAUUUCCAGUUCUUGCCGUUCGGAGCAAGGCGGAGGAUGUGCCCUGGUAUGAACCUCGGGGUCGCGAAUGCGGAGCUUAUGUUGGCAGACAUUGUGUGCCAUUUUGACUGGGAACUUCCGCCUGGGGUUGAGAGAAAAGAUAUUGAUAUGACAGAGGUGUUUGGGCUAACCGUCCGUCGGAAGGAGAAACUAUUGUUGAUUCCAAAAUCAUGCAUGUAGUCGCGAAAAAAAAACUAUAAGGUAAAUAGUGUGUUAUAUCGCAUAAUGUUUUUCUUUGUAAAGAAGGUGCUAUUGGCAAUAAUGGUACAAAUAAAU